rnacentral:lncRNA from 1 species
GCACCCCACCCGCCCCAGUCAUAUCCAACCUGGUAUGAGACGUUUUGUAUUUCAUACGUUUAUACAAUGAAAGCAAUACCGCAAAGGCUCAGUAUGCUACAGAAAAAGUGAAAGGCUCAAUUGUUCGUGAUAAUUUAUUUACAAUCUACACAAGGCCACAAAAAAACUCCGCCUAUGUUGUCUCAACAUAGCCGGUCCCAAGCCCGGGUAAAGGAGGAGGGUUGUGAUAGGCUUGGCGAGCCAACGUAAAAACUCAGCCACUCUUAUGGAGAUGAAAACCAAAAGAUUUUCGUUGGGGCGUAACCCUCUCAGCGACGCGCCACAUCGGAACCCGGGUGUGGUGGAAAAUGGGCAAGGGCCGGGCCGUCACCCCCCAAGUGGCGCGCCGUAUCUUGAUCCGGAUACGAUGGCAAGUGAGCGAGGAUCGGGUCGUCGCAUCCUUAGUGGCGCGCUACAUCGGCGCCCGGAUGUAGUGGAAAAUGAGCAAGGGUCUUCGCAUUUGACUCGACGAGUGCGAAGGGUAAGGAAGCUAGCCGAGCCUAGGAGGAUUCGCUUAGGUAGCUGGAACGUAGGGUCUCUGACAGGGAAGCUUCGGGAGCUAGUUGAUGCAGCAGUGAGGAGAGGUGUUGAUAUCCUUUGCGUCCAAGAAAUCAAAUGGAGAGGACAGAAGGCGAAGGAGGUGGAGGAUACCGGCUUCAAGCUGUGGUACACGGGGACGGCUGCAAACAGAAAUGGCGUAGGCAUCUUGAUCAACAAGAGCCUCAAGUAUGGAGUGGUAGACGUCAGGAGACGUGGGGACCGGAUUAUCCUGGUCAAGCUGGUAGCUGAGGACUUGGUUCUCAAUGUUAUCAGCGCAUAUGCCCCGCAAGUAGGCCACAAUGAGAACACCAAGAGGGAGUUCUGGGAAGGCUUGGAAGACAUGGUUAGGAGUGUACCAAUUGGUGAGAAGCUCUUCAUAGGAGGAGACCUCAAUGGCCACGUGGGUACAUCUAACACAGGUUUUGAAGGGGCGCAUGGGGGCUUUGGCUAUGGCAUCAGGAAUCAAGAAGGAGAAGAUGUCUUAAGCUUUGCUCUAGCCUACAACAUGAUUGUAGCUAACACCCUCUUUAGAAAGAGAGAAUCACAUCUGGUGACUUUUAGUAGUGGCCAACACUCUAGCCAGAUUGAUUUCAUCCUCUCGAGAAGAGAAGAUAGGCGUGCGUGCCUAGACUGUAAGGUGAUACAUGGGGAGAGUGUUGUACCCCAGCAUAAGCUAGUGGUUGCUGACUUCCGCUUUCGGAUUCGUGUCCAGCGGGAUAAGCGUGCCAAGGUCGCUAGAACGAAGUGGUGGAAGCUCAAGGGGGAGGUAGCUCAGGUGUUCAAGGAGAGGGUAUUUAAGGAGGGCCCUUGGGAGGAAGGAGGGGAUGCGGACAAUGUGUGGAUGAAGAUGGCGACUUGCAUUCGUAAGGUGGCCUCGGAGGAGUUUGGAGUGUCCAGGGGAAGGAGAAGCGAAGAUAAGGAUACCUGGUGGUGGAAUGAUGAUGUCCAGAAGGCGCUUAAAGAGAAGAAAGAUUGCUUCAGACGCCUAUACCUGGAUAGGAGUGCAGACAACAUAGAGAAGUACAAGAUGGCGAAGAAGGCCGCAAAGCGAGCUGUUGGUGAAGCAAGGGGUCGGGCAUAUGAGGACCUCUACCAACGGUUAGGCACGAAGGAAGGUGAAAGGGACAUCUAUAAGAUGGCUAAGAUCCGGGAGAGGAAGACGAGGGAUAUUGGCCAAGUCAAAUGCAUCAAGGACGGAGCAGGCCAACUCUUGGUGAAGGACGAAGAGAUUAAGCAUAGAUGGCGGGAGUACUUCGACAAGCUGUUCAAUGGGGAGAAUGAGAGUUCUACCAUUGAACUGAAUGACUCCUUUGAUGAGACCAUCAUGCGUUUUGUGCGGCGCAUCCAGGAGUCUGAGGUGAAGGAGGCUUUAAAAAGGAUGAAAGGAGGCAAGGCGAUGGGCCCUGAUUGUAUCCCCAUUGAGGUGUAGAAAGGUCUCGGGGACAUAGCGAUAGUAUGGCUAACCAAGCUUUUCAACCUCAUUUUUCGGGCAAACAAGAUGCCAGAAGAAUGGAGACGGAGUAUAUUAGUACCAAUCUUCAAGAACAAGGGGGAUGUUCAGAGUUGUACUAAUUACCGUGGAAUUAAGCUGAUGAGCCAUACAAUGAAGCUAUGGGAGAGAGUCAUUGAGCAUCGCUUAAGAAGAAUGACAAGCGUGACCAAAAAUCAGUUUGGUUUUAUGCCUGGGAGGUCGACCAUGGAAGCCAUUUUCCUGGUACGACAACUUAUGGAGAGAUAUAGGGAGCAUAAGAAGGACUUGCAUAUGGUGUUCAUUGACUUGGAGAAGGCCUAUGAUAAGAUACCGCGGAAUGUCAUGUGGUGGGCCUUGGAGAAACACAAAGUCCCAGCAAAGUACAUUACCCUCAUCAAGGACAUGUACAAUAAUGUUGUGGCAAGUGUUCGAACAAGUGAUGUCGACACCGAUGACUUCCCGAUUAAGAUAGGACUGCAUCAGGGGUCAGCUUUGAGCCCUUAUCUUUUUGCAUUGGUGAUGGAUGAGGUCACAAGGGGUAUACAAGGAGAUAUCCCAUGGUGUAUGCUCUUUGCGGAUGAUGUGGUGCUAGUUGAUGAUAGUCGGACGGGGGUAAAUAGGAAGUUAGAGUUAUGGAGACAAACCUUGGAAUCGAAAGGGUUUAGGCUUAGUAGAACUAAAACCGAGUACAUGCUGUGAGGAGGAGGAGGUUUAGGCUUAGGCUUAGAGUUAUGCGCGGUUUCAGUACUACUAGCUGUGAGGAGGAGGAGGUUAGCCUUGAUGGCCAGGUGGUACCUCGGAAGGACACCUUUCGGUAUUUGGGGUCAAUGUUGCAGGAGGAUGGGGGUAUUGAUGAAGAUGUGAACCAUCGAAUCAAAGCCGGAUGGAUGAAGUGGCGCCAAGCUUCUGGCAUUCUCUGUGACAAGAGAGUGCCACAAAAGCUAAAAGGCAAGUUCUACAGGACGGCGGUUCGACCCGCAAUGUUGUAUGGCGCGGAGUGUUGGCCGACUAAAAGGCGACAUGUUCAACAGUUAGGUGUGGCGGAGAUGCGUAUGUUGAGAUGGAUGUGUGGCCACACGAGGAAGGAUCGAGUCCGGAAUGAUGAUAUACGAGAUAGAGUUGGGGUAGCACCAAUUGAGGAGAAGCUUGUCCAACAUCGUUUGAGAUGGUUUGGGCAUAUUCAGCGCAGGCCUCCAGAAGCUCCAGUGCAUAGCGGACGGCUAAAGCGUGCGGAGAAUGUCAAGAGAGGGCGGGGUCGACCGAUUUUGACAUGGGAGGAGUCCGUUAAGAGAAACCUGAAGGAUUGGAGUAUCGACAAAGAGCUAGCUAUGGACAGGGGUGCGUGGAAGCUUGCUAUCCAUGUGCCAGAGCCAUGAGUUGGUUGCGAGAUCUUAUGGGUUUCACCUCUAGCCUACCCCAACUUGUUUCGGACUAAAGGCUUUGUUGUUGUUGUUGUUGUUCUACACAAGGCCACAAAAAAGAGAGUAACAUCCAUGCAUAGUUUCUAUACUAAGCAUAGGCAGAGUGCAUACAAAACAUGUGUUACACAGAAUUUUUAUUGCCCAAUACUUUUGCAGUUGCACAGGUCACACAUGUUACAGAUAGAUAAGGUGCCGACAAUGAUAAAACAAAAAAUAAAUAACUAAUAGGCACGCAAGCCUUCGUUUCCCCCCCUAACAGAUUCACUUUUACCUAGAACUUCCGUGCUUCGCAUCUACAGAAACUAUAUCAUCUGAAUCUGUAUAUCUAUCUACUCCUUUCUUUCGUGUCCGGUGUAUCAUAUCUUUGUUCUGAAUUCAAGUGACUAAACAUUGAUAUGUACAUAGUAUCAAACAAAAGUAAAGGGAAUUAGGGGGUAAAUAAUCUACCUGUUGCAAUAACCAAAUACAUGUUAUAAUUCUGACGCAAACAAAAAUGUAACAACAAGAAGUCAAACCAUAUAUUGUCCGAGAAAGAUGAUCAAUGUCUCCAUUACCCCAAAAUUUAUUGAUAGGCAACAAUGGUUGUACAAUGAUCAGGUUGCAUACACCAUAAACAAUAUAAGUGACACACUCAUGUAAGUAGGCAUGGAAGAACACUAAUAACUGCAAGCUGAUGCAGCUAACUUAGAAUAAAGGAGCCACAACUGAAAUACAUGCAAGCUGGUGCAACUAACUGAGAUAAAGGUUAGUAUAAGUUUCCUAUAUAAAUUUAGGUUAAAAGGUAAAUCAACUAAAGUUUUUUGUUCUUCCUAUAUACUGGCAUAUGGGAUCGGUAACCCACUCUGCUCCAACCCAACAAAAAUAGAGAAAACAGAGCAUCAAUCUUGCUUUCUUUAACGCUAGAGAGAUCGGUCCCAAAAGGCCUUGCCCAGGAAACCAACAAGGCAUCAUGUUGUGUUUCACAAAGACCAUGAAGCAUAAGCAACUAAUCAUAGAAGUAGACACAAACUUGGUUACCUAGGCUCGAAAUGCAGGGCUGGCGGCUACUCACCUAGACUCGAAGUAGCUGUCUCUGUCGUUGGGUCAUUGAUAG